AAAGAAUGCUGCCUUUGCCUUCAUGUCCAACCAGCCAAGAGAUAUAAUGAAGCGGCUUCACCCUUUAAAAAAAAAGUUAAGUAGUUUUCAAGAUUUCUACAAUGAAUUACCUUCGUAAUCAGGCAGAAGAUAAACAAGGCUUUGUUAAUUAACAAGAAAUGCAAAAAACGGGAAAAAUGAUAGAGAAGGCAUGGAUAAAAGAACUAUGAAAAUAGGCAAGCCCCUAAAGAUGGAUCCCUUCUUGCAAGAACGGGUACAGGACUAGGAGUCAGGAGACCCAUGGCUGAAAUCCAGCCCUACUACUAUCUUGCUAUCUGUGUUUAUACGACCUUGAGAAAAUCACUUGCAUUUAACUCAUUCUGAAUCUGUUAUGGUAUGAUGAGUGGGGUAGGCUGAAGUAACUCUAAGAUUCUUCCCAGUGCUUCCCAUUCUUCUAUGAUUCUUUGAAGAGAAAAUCUACAGCCAGGAAGAAUACAACCAAAAAUAAGUUGUCUCUGGGAAGAGUCAGCUUAGAUAAAAUGGAGCCAGCAGCAGAUAAAGAGUGCGACAAAAGUCAUUGGUCAGAGAAAGGGAAGAGGAAAGAGAUUGGCAAUGCGGUGAAGGAGAAGAAGGGAAUAACUAGGCAAUUAGGAGAAAGAAAAAAAUCUGCCAUGAUAAAAAGAGCAAAGAAAGAGAAAUGGUGAAUUAGGAAUGUUUCUGCAAUAUUCACUAUGGGCAAACUGUUAAGUAAGUUAUAGCAUAACCAUGUGAUGGCUCAUUGGGCAGUUAUUACAAAUACAAUAUUAAAUGAAAUAAGCAAGAGAUAGAGUAUAUAUACUUUAUAAUCUCAACUACAUUAAGAAAAUAUACCUACAGAAACUCAAAAGGAAAUCUGCCAAAACCACUUCUCUGGAUGGUAAGAUUUAAGGGUGACUCCCCCACCCAUUUUUUUUUACACUAAAUUUGCCUUCAUUUAACAAAAAUUUUAUAAUGAAGAUAAAAGGAAAUUAUUUCCAAAGUGUUUUCCCAUCCUCUAUUUUUCUCUUUUAAAGGCAAAAAAGAGCAGAAUAUAGAUAAAAACAAAAUAGGAAAGAAACAAAAAACCAAGAACAAAAGGGAACAAGAAGAAAAUAGGGAGAAAGCAUGAAACAGACUCAAGUAGCAUUAAGGUGCCAAACCAAUGAAACUGCUACUAGUUAGUGGCCUGCUAUCUGUCACUAGUUGGAUUUCCACUGUCUACUCCCUUUCCAAUCCAGCUGUACUUUCUGUUGUAUUCUCAUUUUCAAAGAAAAUUGGCAGCCUCAGUUAAGUUUUAGAGAAUGUGCUAAAGUUAUUUCAAAUAGUUUUAAACCUUUG